GCUUUUGAUAACAAAAUAUCCAUCAAUUUAUCGGUGAGUACCAAAAUCACUAAAAGAUCUAACAGGUCAAACUCAAAGCAGGCAAAAUUACAAACAAAAAGACACGUGCCUCCAGUUCUAUCCAAUUUGUACUUUCACAAUCCCAGUACAGCUCAUUUUUCAUUUUGGGAUAUCCUGAAUGUUUCUCAUACUUAAUUUACAAACAAGGUAUUCUACACAACUCUAACUU
rnacentral:misc_RNA from 1 species